AUAUUAGCUUCUUUGUUAAUGGCAUGAUUAGAAUCUCUAUUAAUGUAUUAUACCUUAUAUUAAGCUUUGUGCUGAUCUUUGAAGCGGGAACAUCUGAUGGGUUUCCUUUUGUGCCAAAGGUGGUUUGAAGAAAAUGCUCCACUGGUGUAGCAAAGAUGAAUAGCAAAACUGCUGUAACAAGGAUACUACUUUGGUUGCGGUACUUCUCAAGGAUUAGCAAAGUCAUUUGCAUUGGUUAAUACCUUGUAAGAGCCCAACAGUCUAUCACGAGCCAGGAUCUGCAACGGAUGGCGAUGUUCUAUACUAAAAUUUCCAGUAUCUCUAAUGACCCUGCGCAUCAAAUAGGAAAUUCUAGACGUGCAUGAUGCAUGCACAUUAUUAAAGUCACUUGAGCCUUACUCAUUCUCAAAAGGCACAUCAAGGGAAGAGGUUUGCUCAAGGCUUAUAAAGCCCACAACCCAGGCAUACCUUGGCAAUGUGAGACUCUUAACACGCCCCCUCACGUGUGGCAUCUUUUGGCCAAACACGUGUUUAAUAUUGGGAGGGAAGGCCCAA